AUUGAACGCUGGCGGCAUGCUUUACACAUGCAAGUCGAACGGUAACAGGCCGCAAGGUGCUGACGAGUGGCGAACGGGUGAGUAAUGCAUCGGAACGUGCCCAGUCGUGGGGGAUAACGCAGCGAAAGCUGCGCUAAUACCGCAUACGAUCUAUGGAUGAAAGCGGGGGACCGUAAGGCCUCGCGCGAUUGGAGCGGCCGAUGUCAGAUUAGGUAGUUGGUGAGGUAAAGGCUCACCAAGCCAACGAUCUGUAGCUGGUCUGAGAGGACGACCAGCCACACUGGGACUGAGACACGGCCCAGACUCCUACGGGAGGCAGCAGUGGGGAAUUUUGGACAAUGGGCGCAAGCCUGAUCCAGCAAUGCCGCGUGCAGGAAGAAGGCCUUCGGGUUGUAAACUGCUUUUGUACGGAACGAAACGGUCCGGGUUAAUACCCUGGGCUAAUGACGGUACCGUAAGAAUAAGCACCGGCUAACUACGUGCCAGCCGCCGCGGUAAUAC
rnacentral:rRNA from 1 species